UAGUCAUAUGCUUGUCUCAAAGAUUAAGCCAUGCAUGUCUAAGUAUAAACAAAUUUGUACUGUGAAACUGCGAAUGGCUCAUUAAAUCAGUUAUAGUUUAUUUGAUGGUACAUUACUACAUGGAUAACUGUGGUAAUUCUAGAGCUAAUACAUGCGUUAAAAUCCCGACUUACGAAGGGAUGUAUUUAUUAGAUACAAAACCAAUUCGUGGCAACACGAUAUUGGUGAGUCAUAAUAACUUUUCGAAUCGCAUGGCCUUGAGCCGGCGAUGCAUCAUU
rnacentral:rRNA from 1 species